ensembl:lincRNA
AUGGCGGCCUGUCCUGGACUGUGCAGAUGGGGACAAAACUGCAAGACGAAGCAGAAGGGGAUGAGCACUGGUCCCCAAGGACAGCGAGGAUGGUCACCUGCAGGUCACACAGCUCCCUGGCUGAGCCCGAUCUGCCCCCUCUGCUUCCUGAGGGCAGAGUCACCACGCUGCCACCUCUGCAGAAGGAAAGCCCCGAGCAGGCACCGCUGUGUGUCAUGCUGUGUGUCACACGCGUGCCCUGAAACACGCACACGUGUGGGCGGGCUGAUGCCACGGUCCGGAGCCCAGGGAGGAGAGGAGGGCAGUGACGGUGGAGGGCAGCCGGUGUUUCUCCUGGACAGCGUGGGUAGGAAUGGACGAGACGUAAGAAAACAGGCUCAUCACACAGCUACUUAUCUUUCAAAAAGAGCAAGAGGACACGAGGAGGAGAAAGAAAGGGUCGCAGAAGGAGACAUCAGCGGCAGGAGCCCGGAUCCUUGCAGAGACACAGCUGGGACGCCAACAGAGGGAUGGGGCGGUGACACUUUUCUGACUUUUGUCCAUAUUUAGUAAUAUUGUUAAUAUUUUAUAUAUACACCCAAAAUUACAGCGGGGUCCCCUCAAGCCGGGAGACCAUCAGAAACAAACGAACCCAGCUUAUUUCAUGAAUCACACAGCACCGGCGAAGCGGGUGGAGGACCCAACAGCACAGUGUUCUGACCAAGUGCCCUGGUCUAGGGGCCAGAGCAGCUGUUACCGGAGUGGGUUUGCCUUUCCUGGCCAUGUGCAUUGGCAUUUAAACCUGCAAUCCAGGACCCAGCCUGCGCUGGACACUGAGGUGCCGGCCUCUCCCCUCUCCCCUGGGGGCAGAACAACCCAAAGCCUGGCCCAUCCCCAGAAGGCUCUGCAGGAAUGGGACAGGGACUGCUCAAGCACAGACGGAAGCCCAGGGAGGAGGGGCACAGGCGAAUUUACAGAAUUAACACCAAGGCCUUGUCUUCUCUCGCAGGAAGGGAACACUGGGUGGCACUUCCUCCCUCUGUCUCCAGGCAGCUGAGGUUUCUUUUUCUCAGUUCAGAUAGAAAUUGUGAAAUGGGCCAAGGGCAGCAGCUCCAAUGCUGAAUGGUACAAUGAUGCGCUGGCCAACACCAGUCAAGGUCAGGCACCAGGCCUCAAGUGUGAUUAUAUAGCAGCCACAGGCCUGUGAUUGGUUCACAGUUGAGCCUGCUGAUUGGUCUGAAUUCAACUUGCUGAUUGGUCCAAAUUUAAUUCUACCUGGCUCAAAUCUGAGCAGAGCUUUGGGAGACUUGGCUGUUUGAUUGACAGUAGUCAUGUCUCCUGAAAAGUGUUAGGGCCAAGAUCAGGGACCGCUCAGGAGGCCUAGCUGUGUCCAUCAUGGCUCUGGGCUUGGGCAUAUUAGUAAUGAGCCCAGAUCCCUCCUGAUCUUUGCCACAUGAAGGGGAUUUCCCCUGCUACUUGUCUGGAGCCAGGGAGAAGAUGGUCACUGACAGCUGAGCUGCUGCUCCCGUUUGAGCUGCUGGGAAUGUGGCCUCAAAUAACCUGAAGGGUGGCAGAAGGACGGCUUUCCCCGUCCAUCAAAGUGGGGAUCCAGGGGGAGUGACAGGAAAUGAGGGGGAGCAGCUGACUGACAGCUGUUGGCCAAACCCAGCCCCCAGAAGGCCCAGGUGGAGGGGAAAGCCAGCUGCUUCUUGCCUGUCUCACCGGGAUGCUAGGGGCUUGGCCUUGGUAAGCACAUCUGAUGGCUGUGCCAAGCCAUGCUGGUGCCCUUUGCUGGGCAUCUCGUGGGCCUAUGGGCUUCCCACCCUCACCCGGAUAACCCAGGGUGCCCCACUGGAGUAGUUUUCACAUGGCAGGUCAGGGCAUGGGGUUUGGAAAUCUUCACCAGGCUCCCCAAGGUGGCAGGGCUGAAGAAGCUGGGGCUUCCCUGCCAAACUCCGGGGUCAGUGCCCUGCAUGACAGAGCCGUAAAACCCACUGAGGUGGAGCCCCAGCCACCCACCCCAGGCCCCUGCCCAGCCCCCUCCACCCAGCCCAUCCUGUCCACAGGCACAACUGUGGGGCCACUCACCCUCACUGAGCCCUUGUCAGCCACCUCGGACUCCUGACCACUGCAUCUGGCCAGCCGCAGAAGACUCAUCUUGUUAAUUGGUGCCUGUGGUCCGGGCUGUACUUCUUCCCUUUUUCCUGCCGCUACAGACUCCUCCAAGGUCACAUGUGGAGCUGAAAACUGGGCUGGAUUCCAGUUAGAGCCUGACAAGGCCCCUGUUCUACACGGCCUGCUCUGAUGACGUGACCUCCGGGUCAUCAGGCCUCCCUGGACCCUGGCUAUGGUUCAUGGCCAGAUGUCCCCCAAGGCCGCAUGCAGUCACAGGCGGGCCUGGAGACAGGUGUCUGGAUCAUGUUGGGCGUGGUUAUACCUGAAGAGGAGGUCGUGAUUAGAAGGGUUUGAUCUCCC